UACGAAGGGGGCAAGCGUUGUCCGGAAUCAUUGGGCGUAAAGAGCGCGUAGGCGGCCCUGUAAGUCCGCUGUGAAAGUCAAGGGCUCAACCCUUGGAUGCCGGUGGAUACUGCAGGGCUAGAGUCCGGAAGAGGCGAGUGGAAUUCCUGGUGUAGCGGUGAAAUGCGCAGAUAUCAGGAGGAACACCGAUGGCGAAGGCAGCUCGCUGGGACGGUACUGACGCUGAGGAGCGAAAGCGUGGGGAGCGAACAGG
rnacentral:rRNA from 1 species